ensembl:lncRNA
CACUGUCAUCAAAAUCCUUCACUCCGAAGGGCCCUUUGAAGAGGACAGGUUUGAGCACUUCGGUUUGGAACAACCCUUCAAUAUGACAGGAGCAAUCGAACCAGGGCAACAAGGACUCGAGUGAUCUGGAUGAGAGCAAAGGCUCAGUCUUUGUUCCUUCAGUGAAGGAGUCCACUGAUGAUGAGGACCUUCAUUCAGAAGAGUCCCAGCUUGAAAAGACCAAUCGAAAGACUGUAAAAGACACAAUACUUCAUUCAUCUAAAAAGGUCAAGAAGGCAAAGCAAAAAAGUCCAAGAAAAAUGACAAUCAAAACAAGUCAGCGAGGUCCUGAAGGCAAACGAACGUGGAACAAGAAACAGUACUGUGUCUUCUGUGAAAAGGCACAAGCCAAGAUCGCUAGACAUCUUGAAAGAAGUCAUUCCAGUGAAACAGAAGUUGCUAAAGCCUUGAGUUUUCCCAAAUGUUCAAAGAAACGAAUAAUUCUUCUUGAACAGCUUCGGAACCAGGGUAAUUAUUAUCAUAACAUAAAAGUCUUGGAAACCGGACGCGGCGAGAUCGUUACCUGGAGACAACCAACCUCAGUGAAAACAAUCAAGCUCAAGCGUCGCGUCACAGAAACAGACGCUUCGGAGAAUGAAGAUGAAGAACCCUCUACCUCAGUGAAGACUGUCAAGCGCUCUCCUCCAGACAAUCAACACAUUAUAGAGAUGUUCUCAGGAAAGAAAGCUCCAAGGAGGUCAUGGAGCAGUGAAGAGCAGAGCGCUGUGAAGAGUACACUCAGAAUAUGCUUCUCCUUCAGGAAAGUUCCUGGAAAGGCAGAAUGUCAGUCAUGUCUAGAUGCUAAUCCAGUACUGAGCUCAAGUUUAUGGCUUGAUGUUAAAAACGUUGUCCAUAGAUCCCGGGCCCUAUGCAUAGGCAGUCCUGAUGGUCCCCCAUGCCCCCCCUUAUUCAACCACUAAGUGUUGGGACA